rnacentral:lncRNA from 1 species
AACUGAACCACUGUGACUAGUUGAGAACAAUCAACGCCGGUAGCACACCCGCACAUCUACAACGGUGGAAGAUCUAGACUUAAUAUUUAUUGGGAGGUUUGAGUUUAGGUCUCAUCUAAUCAGUCAUCAUAUGACUGAUUUAAUUGGCAUGGGCUAAACCAGAUUGCUAAGCAACCUAAUUCAAGACCAAUCUUUCAAAUU